AACGAACGCUGGCGGCAUGCCUAACACAUGCAAGUCGAACGGGAUCCUAGCUUGCUAGGUGAGAGUGGCGGACGGGUGAGUAACACGUGGGAAUCUGCCUUUUGGUUCGGGAUAACCGCGGGAAACUGCGGCUAAUACCGAAUGCCCUCGAGAGAGGAAAGAUUUAUCGCCAGAAGAGGAGCCCGCGUCCGAUUUAGGUAGUUGGUGGGGUAAAGCCUACCAAGCCGACGAUCGGUAGCUGGUCUGAGAGGAUGAUCAGCCACACUGGGACUGAGAUACGGCCCAGACUCCUACGGGAGGCAGCAGUGGGGAAUAUUGGACAAUGGGGCAACCCUGAUCCAGCAAUGCCGACGUGAGUGAUGAAGGCCUUAGGGUUGUAAAGCUCUUUGCCAGGAGAUGAUGACUGUA
rnacentral:rRNA from 1 species